UACGGUCAUAUCACAUUCAAACACCAGUUCUUAUCUGAUCACCAAAGUUAAACAACAUUGAGCCUGGUUACUAUGUAUAUGGGUGACUGCUUGAGAAUAUCAGGUGUUGUAA